ACGAACGCUGGCGGCGUGCUUAACACAUGCAAGUCGAACGGAAAGGCCCUGCUUUUGUGGGGUGCUCGAGUGGCGAACGGGUGAGUAACACGUGAGUAACCUGCCCUUGACCUUGGGAUAACUUCAGGAAACUGGGGCUAAUACCGGAUAGGAGCUCCUGCUGCAUGGUGGGGGUUGGAAAGUUUCGGCGGUUGGGGAUGGACUCGCGGCUUAUCAGCUUGUUGGUGGGGUAGUGGCUUACCAAGGCUUUGACGGGUAGCCGGCCUGGGAGGGUGACCGGCCACAUUGGGACUGAGAUACGGCCCAGACUCCUACGGGAGGCAGCAGUGGGGAAUAUUGCACAAUGGGCGGAAGCCUGAUGCAGCAACGCCGCGUGCGGGAUGACGGCCUUCGGGUUGUAAACCGCUUUCGCCUGUGACGAAGCGUGAGUGACGGUAAUGGGUAAAGAAGCACCGGCUAACUACGUG
rnacentral:rRNA from 1 species